ACAAGGGUAGCCAGGGACAUGGCAUCUGCCCGGUAAGCGGAAGGUUGUGGGUUCGAUUCCCGCCCCUGGAC